GUCUGUGGGAGCCACUCUCAUUCAUACCACCACACAGUUAGCCAAGAAAGCACCUGCUUUCUUUACCUCCUCAGUGAUGAAUUACAGCUGCCCAGUACUGGAAUUACAGGCCCGUGUGGAUCAGGAUAUGAACAGCUGGAAUUGGCUUGAAGACAGCAAAACCUGGAGGAUAUUAAGAAACUGAAAGGACUGAUAACACCAACUGCUUUGAUGGAUAUAUUAGAAAAUUGAGUUUCUCCUACUACAAGAUUAGAACUGAUGAAGUCCUAAAGAUAAAUGCCUCAGUAAGGUAAUUGUCUGGUUGGGUCUAUUCCCUACUGAUUAUUUUCCUUAGGACUUACUGAGUUCCAUGGAAAGUUCACACAACUCAUGAGACUGGCUCAUAAAUUCCAACAAGUAUCCUCCAGACUAUUCCUUUACAAUAGUCCAACUACAGAAAAAGGGAUGACUUACUUAUUCUCACUGUGUUUUAUUUUUGAGAUCAUGUCUUGUCAAGUAUCUCU